rnacentral:rRNA from 1 species
UNGACGCGUGAACGCGGGCUCGACGCGAUCGGANCGAAAGUCCCGUCGUCNCCGUGCGAGAGAGUAGCGCUCGUUCGAUGCACUUCUGAAGAGUAAGCGCCGCGACCGACGCGAAAGACUAGCGAAGCCCGNGNGUUGAGNGCGAGGCGCGUUCGCGCGUCUCGUAACCAGCCCGCGGGUGCGAAUAGAACUCGCUAGACCGCAGCGUCGAGAGAAUAUAGUUUCGAACGCCGGUGAUAUAUAUACGCGCUCGCCCGUAACGACGUAGGUGCGGCCGACCGAUCGCCUCCUGCUCGCAGGUCGCGGUCCGCGUCCGGUUCGUAUCCGAAAUCGUCGGCGACGUUAAGGCGUUCGGGCGUCCGCGGCGUCCGAGUCGGUCACCCGUCCGACCCGUCUUGAAACACGGACCAAGGAGUCUAACGUAAGCGCGAGCUAAUGGGCGGAAAACCCAUGAGCGCAAUAAAAGUAAAAGUCGUUUCGGACGGCUUAGGUACGAUCCCGGGGGCGGAUACGUAUCCCCGGGCGCAGUACCGUCCCGUCCCGACCGCUCGUCGGUAGGGCGGAGAUAGAGUUCCAACGUUGGAACCGGAAAGAUGGUGAAUUCAACUUCCACGGAGGGAAGCCGUAGGUAGUUCCNGCCGAGUUACAAGUUCCAUGAGGGAAGCG